CCUACGGGGGGCAGCAGUGAGGAAUAUUGGUCAAUGGUCGGGAGACUGAACCAGCCAAGCCGCGUGAGGGAGGAAGGUACAGAGUAUCGUAAACCUCUUUUGUCAGGGAACAAAGACUGGGACGCGUCCCCGGAUGAGUGUACCUGAAGAAAAAGCAUCGGCUAACUCCGUGCCAGCAGCCGCGGUAAUACGGAGGAUGCGAGCGUUAUCCGGAUUUAUUGGGUUUAAAGGGUGCGCAGGCGGGUUUUUAAGUCAGCGGUCAAAGUCCGGGGCUCAACCCCGGGCCGGCCAUUGAAACUGGCAGUCUUGAGUUGGAGAGAAGUAGGCGGAAUGCGCGGUGUAGCGGUGAAAUGCAUAGAUAUCGCGCAGAACUCCGAUUGCGAAGGCAGCAUGCCGGCUCCACACUGACGCUGAGGCACGAAAGCGUGGGUAUCGAACAGGAUUAGAUACCCCAGUAGUC
rnacentral:rRNA from 1 species